rnacentral:lncRNA from 1 species
AAUAACUUGAUCAAGUCAUAUAGAUCAAUUUGAAAGCAAGUGUGAUAUUUUUUAUAAAUUUGUAACAUUAAAUAUGUAUGGAAAAUCUAAUUAUUGUUAGCACAAGUUAUAUAAUUAGAAAGAGGAUAAUCAGUGAAAAAGCAACUUAACUUUUAUUAUAAGAUUGUUGGUUUAGAUAUCACACGAAUGGCUGUCCUAAGAUAUUUGGUCAAGGGUAGGGUUCAUUUAACAUAACUUCCAAAAUGUAGCAUCUUCAAAUCCAUAUGAAUGAGGUUUCUUCUUUCCUUGGUUGUGUGUUGUAUCCAAGAACAAAAGAAGGUGAAAAAAGAUGACAAGGGAAAAAUAGCAAUACUUGAAUAU